rnacentral:rRNA from 1 species
UUGAACGCUGGCGGCAUGCCUUACACAUGCAAGUCGAACGGUAGAGGGGCAACCCUUGAGAGUGGCGAACGGGUGAGUAAUAUAUCGGAACGUGCCCAGUCGUGGGGGAUAACGCAGCGAAAGCUGCGCUAAUACCGCAUACGAUCUAUGGAUGAAAGCGGGGGAUCGCAAAGACCUCGCGCGAUUGGAGCGGCCGAUAUCAGAUUAGGUAGUUGGUGGGGUAA